rnacentral:rRNA from 1 species
UACGUAGGGGGCAAGCGUUGUCCGGAAUCAUUGGGCGUAAAGCGCGCGUAGGUGGCCCAGUAAGUCCGUUGUGAAAGUCAAAGGCUCAACCUUUAAAAGCCGAUGGAUACUGCUGGGCUCGAGUCCGGAAGAGGCGAGUGGAAUUCCUGGUGUAGCGGUGGAAUGCGCAGAUAUCAGGAGGAACACCAUAGCGAAGGCAGCUCGCUGGGACGGUACUGACACUAAGGCGCGAAAGCGUGGGGAGCGAACAGGG